CUCAGUAAUCUGAAAGAGCACGGAAUGAUUAGACUGCUGGACCAUCUCUUCAGCCUAGAGGAACCUCAGUAAUCUGAAAGAGCACGGGAUGAUUAGACUGCUGGACCAUCUCUUCAGCCUAGAGGAACCUCAGUAAUCUGAAAGAGCACGGGAUGAUUAGACUGCUGGACCGUCUCUUCAGCCUAGAGGAACUUCAGUAAUCUGAAAGAGCACGGGAUGAUUAGACUGCUGGACCGUCUCUUCAGCCUAGAGGAACCUCAGUAAUCUGAAAGAGCACGGAAUGAUUAGACUGCUGGACCAUCUCUUCAGCCUAGAGGAACUUCAGUAAUCUGAAAGAGCACGGGAUGAUUAGACUGCUGGACCGUCUCUUCAGCCUAGAGGAACCUCAGUAAUCUGAAAGAGCACGGGAUGAUUAGACUGCUGGACCGUCUCUUCAGCCUAGAGAUUUUCUUUUUACAAAAAUGAUAGAGUCUUUUUGGACCACCAAAAGGACACAAAGACUUCUAGAAAAAAGCUGAAACGACAAUCAAAGUUCACUGAAGAAAUGGCAGAUGGAUCAUAAGAUACAGGAGUUGCUGCCAAAACAGGACAGGAUCAGCUGGAAGGAGGAGGGAGGAUCCAGCUCUACACGGCUAGUUCUGAAACUUCAACCAGGACUUCUUUAAGCAUCUAGCACUUUAGAAAUGCAGCUGGGCUGUGGAAGCACUGAAUUGAUUUCUCUUAUCAACUUCACAUUUGCAUUCUAUUUCCCUCCUGUUAUAUGCAGCUAAAAUGAGAGAGAAGAAGGAUGGAAACAGAAGAGAGAUUGAGAAGGGUUGAAAGAGGCAAGGG
rnacentral:lncRNA from 1 species